rnacentral:misc_RNA from 1 species
GAUGAAGAACGCAGUGAAAUGCGAUAAGUAAUGUGAAUUGCAGAAUUCAGUGAAUCAUCGAAUCUUUGAACGCACAUUGCGCCCGCCAGUAUUCUGGCGGGCAUGCCUGUCCGAGCGUCAUUUCAACCCUCGAACCCCUCCGGGGGGUCGGCGUUGGGGAUCGGCCCUGCCUCUUGGCGGUGGCCGUCUCCGAAAUACAGUGGCGGUCUCGCCGCAGCCUCUCCUGCGCAGUAGUUUGCACACUCGCAUCGGGAGCGCGGCGCGUCCACAGCCGUUAAACACCCAACUUCUGAAAUGUUGACCUCGGAUCAGGUAGGAAUACCCGCUGAACUUAAGCAUAUCGAUAAGCGGAGGA